rnacentral:rRNA from 1 species
GCUUUCCGUAGGUGAACCUGCGGAAGGAUCAUUAUCGUAUGAUGGAGGUGCUGGGGUUGUCGCUGACUUUUGAAAAAGGGUCGUGCACACCUCGGUGCUCUCGCACAUAUAAUCCAUCUCACCCCUUUUGUGCAUCACCGCGUGGGGACCCCUUUUGGCUAGUUCCGAGGGGGGUUUUCACGUUUUUACAAAGACACCCUUUUAAUGCAAUGUGUAGAAUGUCUUACUUUUUGCGAUCGUACGCAAUCAAUACAACUUUCAACAACGGAUCUCUUGGCUCUCGCAUCGAUGAAGAACGCAGCGAAAUGCGAUACGUAAUGUGAAUUGCAGAAUUCAGUGAAUCAUCGAAUCUUUGAACGCACCUUGCGCCCCUUGGCAUUCCGAGGGGCACACCCGUUUGAGUGUCGUGACAUCCUCAAACCUUCUUGGUUUCUUGACCAUGGAAGGCUUUGGACCUUGGAGGUUUUUGCUGGCUUUCCUUUGUUGGAGCCAGCUCCUCUGAAAUGAAUUAGUGGGGUCUGCUUUGCCGAUCCUUGACGUGAUAAGAUAUUUUCUACGUCUUGGGUUUUGCACUCCUGCUUCUAACCGUCUCACAGAAGACAAAUGGUCUUUGACCCAUGAACCUUGACCUCAAAUCGGGUGAGACUACCCGCUGAACUUAAGCAUAUCAAUAAGCGGAGGAAAAGAAACUAACAAGGAUUCCCCUAGUAACUGCGAGUGAAGCGGGAAAAGCUCAAAUUUAAAAUCUGGUGGUCUUUGGCCAUCCGAGUUGUAAUUUAGAGAAGCGUC